CGGCGUACGGGUGAGUAACGCGUGAGCAAUCUGUCCCGGAAAGAGGGAUAACACUUGGAAACAGGUGCUAAUACCACAUAAGACCACGCUACCGCAUGGUAGAGGGGUAAAAGGAGCAAUCCGAUCCGGGGUGAGCUCGCUUCUGAUUAGGUAGUUGGUGAGGUAACGGCUCACCAAGCCGACGAUCAGUAGGGGUUCUGAGAGGAAGGUCCCCCACAUUGGAACUGAGACACGGUCCAAACUCCUACGGGAGGCAGCAGUGAGGAAUAUUGGUCAAUGGGCGAGAGCCUGAACCAGCCAAGUCGCGUGAAGGAUGAAGGUUCUAUGGAUUGUAAACUUCUUUUGUUCGAGGGUAAAGUGAGUCACGUGUGAUUUAUUGCAAGUAUCGAACGAAUAAGCAUCGGCUAACUCCGUGCCAGCAGCCGCGGUAAUACGGAGGAUGCGAGCGUUAUCCGGAUUUAUUGGGUUUAAAGGGUGCGUAGGCGGGAUGUUAAGUCAGCGGUUAAAUAGUGUAGCUCAACUAUACUUCGCCGUUGAAACUGGCGUUCUUGAGUGUAAACGAGGUAGGCGGAAUGUGACGUGUAGCGGUGAAAAUGCUUAGAUAUGUCACAGAACCCCGAUUGCGAAGGCAGCUUACCAGGAUACAACUGACGCUGAGGCACGAAAGCGUGGGUAUCAAACAGGAUUAGAUACCCUGGUAGUCCACGCAGUAAACGAUGAAUACUAGCUGUUGGCGAUAUAAUGUCAGCGGUAAAGCGAAAGUGUUAAGUAUUCCACCUGGGGAGUACGCCGGCAACGGUGAAACUCAAAGGAAUUGACGGGGGCCCGCACAAGCGGAGGAACAUGUGGUUUAAUUCGAUGAUACGCGAGGAACCUUACCCGGGCUUGAAAGUUAGUGACAGACCCUAAAAGGGGUCCUUCCUUCGGGACACGAAACUAGGUGCUGCAUGGUUGUCGUCAGCUCGUGCCGUGAGGUGUCGGCUUAAGUGCCAUAACGAGCGCAACCCUUGUCGUUAGUUACCAGCGGGUAAUGCCGGGAACUCUAGCGAUACUGCUACUGUAAGGUAGAGGAAGGUGGGGAUGACGUCAAAUCAGCACGGCCCUUACGUCCGGGGCGACACACGUGGUACAAUGGUCGGUACAGAGGGUUGCUACCCUGUGAGGGGAUGCUAAUCUCAUAAAACCGGUCUCAGUUCGGACUGGAGUCUGCAACUCGACUCCACGAAGCUGGAUUCGCUAGUAAUCGCGCAUCAGCCAUGGCGCGGUGAAUACGUUCCCGGGC
rnacentral:rRNA from 1 species